rnacentral:lncRNA from 1 species
AUGGAGAGAGGAGCCUGGGAGAGCAGGGAAAGGGGAGAAGGAAAAGGGGGAUCCAGGAAAAGGGGAGAAGGAAAAAGGGGGAUCCAGGGAAAGGGGGAUCCAGGAAAAGGGGAGAAGGAAAAAGGGGGAUCCAGGAAAAGGGGGAUCCAGGAAAAGGGGGAUCCAAGGAAAAGGAGGAUCCAGGGAAAAGGGGGAUCCAGGAAAAAGGGGGAGAAGGAAAAAGGGGGAGAAGGAAAAAGGGGGAUCCAGGGAAAAGGGGGAUCCAGGGAAAAGGAGAAUCCAGGGAAAAGGGGAAUCCAGAGAAAAGGGGGAUCCAGGAAAAGGGGGAUCCAGGGAAAAAGGGGAGAAGGAAAAAGGGAUCCAGGGAAAAGGGGGAGAAGGAAAAGGGGGAUCCAGGGAAAAGGGGGAUCCAGGGAAAAGGGGGGAUCCAGGGAAAAGGGGGGAUCCAGGGAAAAGGGGGGAUCCAGGGAAAAGGGGGGAUCCAGGGAAAAGGGGAGAAGGAAAGGGGGAUCCAGGGAAAAGGGGGAGCAGGAGACACUUCCAUGGAGCCCUUGGAAAGUGCCAGGGCUGGUGGAUGCUCGGGAGAGCUCCGGGAAUUCCCAUGGAGUGGCCACAGGAUCCGUCGGGAAGAGGCAGAUCCCGGGAUUUGGGUGUCCAAGCCCAGUCCAUGUCCCCAGGGCCCAUCCCGGGGCUCAGCAGCUCCUGGGAGACAUUCCCAGAAUCCGGGAGGCUGGAAAAGAUUUCCCAAGGCCACGGCAGGGAGAAGCCAUUCCCGGUUAUCCCGAGGUUUUUUUGGGAAGGGAUAAAAACAACCGUGAGGUGAAAUCCUGGGAGUUUCCCCAUUCCCCCAAAAAAGCUUUGGAUUGGGUUAGGAAUGGCAGGGAUCCCAUCACGGGACAGGGAGCAAUUCCCAUGGGAAAGGAUUCGCAAUUCCCUGGAUCCGGAAUUGCGGAAUUCCCAAAGCGGGGCGGGCUGGACACCGGGAGCUGCUCCGGGCGUUUUCCAGAGGCGAUGGAAUUCCCGGGGGUACCGGGAUGGGCAGAGCCGCUCCUGGGCCCCGGGAAUUCGCAAUUCCUCCUUUUCAGCCCGCCCUCAUUUGGCAACAAAAUGGGGAAAAUCCCAAGUUUUUAA